rnacentral:rRNA from 1 species
AUUGAACGCUGGCGGCAUGCCUUACACAUGCAAGUCGAACGGCAGCACGGGUGCUUGCACCUGGUGGCGAGUGGCGAACGGGUGAGUAAUAUAUCGGAACGUACCUUAUCGUGGGGGAUAACGCAGCGAAAGCUGCGCUAAUACCGCAUACGCCCUGAGGGGGAAAGCGGGGGGACCGUAAGGCCUCGCGCGAUUAGAGCGGCCGAUAUCUGAUUAGCUUGUGGUGGGGUAAAGCCCACCAAGGCGACGAUCAGUAGCUGGUCUGAGAGGACGAUCAGCCACACUGGGACUGAGACACGGCCCAGACUCCUACGGGAGGCAGCAGUGGGGAAUUUUGGACAAUGGGGGCAACCCUGAUCCAGCAAUGCCGCGUGAGUGAAGAAGGCC